GGAGGGGUGCCGGAGUGGUCGAACGGGCCGGUCUCGAAAACCGGAGUACGGGCAACCGUACCGUGGGUUCGAAUCCCACCCCCUCCG
rnacentral:tRNA from 1 species